rnacentral:rRNA from 1 species
UACAGAGGUCUCAAGCGUUUGUUCGGAUUCAUUGGGCGUAAAGGGUGCGUAGGUGGCGCGGUAAGUCGGGUGUGAAAUUUCGGAGCUUAACUCCGAAACUGCAUUCGAUACUGCGGUGCUUGAGGACUGGAGAGGAGACUGGAAUUUAUGGUGUAGCAGUGAAAUGCGUAGAGAUCAUGAGGAAGACCAGUGGCGAAGGCGGGUCUCUGGACAGUUCCUGACACUGAGACACGAAGGCCAGGGGAGCAAAACGGG